rnacentral:rRNA from 1 species
GCGGGAAUUCGAUUUUCCGGUUGAUCCUGCCGGACCUGACUGCUAUCGGAUUGAUACUAAGCCAUGCGAGUUUUUGUAGCAAUACAAGGCAGACGGCUCAGUAACACGUAGUCAAUCUAACCUAUGGAUGAGGAUAACCUCGGGAAACUGAGAAUAAUACUCAAUAGAUCAUUAUGCCUGGAACGGUUUAUGGUUCAAAUGAAUUUCGCCAUAGGGUGGGACUGCGGUCUAUCAGCUUGUUGGUGAGGUAAUGGCCCACCAAGGCUAUAACAGAUACGGGCUCUGAGAGGAGAAGCCCGGAGAUGGGUACUGAGACACGGACCCAGGCCCUAUGGGGCGCAGCAGGCGAGAAAACUUUGCAAUGUGCGAAAGCACGACAAGGUUAAUCCGAGUGAUUCCUGCUAAAGGAAUCUUUUGUUAGUCAUAAUACCACUGAUGAAUAAGGGGUGGGCAAGUUCUGGUGUCAGCCGCCGCGGUAAAACCAGCACCUCAAGUGGUCAGGAGGAUUAUUGGGCCUAAAGCAUCCGUAGCCUGCUCUGUAAGUUUCCGGUUAAAUCCAUUAGCUUAACUGAUGGGCCGCCGGAAAAACUGCAAAGCUAGGGAGUGGGAGAGGUAGACGGUACUCGGUAGGAAGGGGUAAAAUCCUUUGAUCUAUUGAUGACCACCUGUGGCGAAGGCGGUCUACCAGAACACGUUCGACGGUGAGGGAUGAAAGCUGGGGGAGCAAACCGGAUUAGAUACCCGGGUAGUCCCAGCUGUAAACGAUGCAGACUCGGUGAUGCCCUGGCUUGUGGCCAGUGCAG